rnacentral:rRNA from 1 species
UACAGAGGGUGCAAGCGUUAAUCGGAAUUACUGGGCGUAAAGCGUGCGCAGACGGUUGUGUAAGUCAGAUGUGAAAGCCCCGGGCUCAACCUGGGAAUUGCAUUUGAGACUGCGUAGCUAGGGUGCGGAAGAGGGAAGCGGAAUUUCCGGUGUAGCGGUGAAAUGCGUAGAUAUCGGAAGGAACACCAGUGGCGAAAGCGGCUUCCUGGUCCAGCACCGACGUUCAGGCACGAAAGCGUGGGGAGCAAACAGG